AUGGAGAAUGUGUUCAUAACACUGACUGAUCGCCAAGGAACAUUAUCAUUAACUGUCUCCAAAGAAAUUGCAGAAAAAAUAAAGCAAGAUCACAAAUAUGCAGCAUGUCUAAUGCAGCAAGUGAGAUCUGCAACACUGAAAGAAGAUAGUAGUCAUCAUCCAGCCUCUUUGGCACCAUGUCCCCCUUUAGCUACAAGUCAUUGUACAGUGUCUUUGACCAAAUGCCCUCCGCCUCCAGUCAUUACUCUUUCAGUCACGAUCCACAAUCCUACACCUUUGUCCCAGUGCCCCCCUCCAAAGAUCACUCCUGGUCCAGCAUUUGUUAAAUGUUCUGGUAAAACAAAAACCAUAGAUCUCACUAAAGCCCCACAAGGACCCAAUCUUCAGAUACAUUUAAAACAGACAGAAUGCGACAAAAUCCAAGGUAUGUUCCAUUUCAAAAUGCAUAUGUAAUCUUUCUGUAAAGCUUUUUCUAAAUUACAAAUUGUUUUCACAGAAUUCACACACAGGACCACACUGCUGCUGCUUGACCUCACACAAGCAAACAUGCAGUUAUAUUAUAAAAACAAAAUUGCUUUUUAUAAAAAGAUUGAGCAAGACUUUAAAGUAAAUGGUUACAAUAUGACUAAUGAGAAACUUAGAAAAAAACUUGGUAACAUGAUUACCACGUAUAAAAGAGCUAAGGACCGGUGCCGAGCAACAGGGGAGGAAAAAAUAACUUGGGAGUACUACAAGGUUGGCAUUCUUUAUGUAUUUCAACUGCUGCAGAAUGAUUUGGUUGACUUUUUAAAAUAUUUUGCAUUAAUUUGUUUUUAUAUACUUUCUCACAGAAAAUGGAGGAGUUAUUUGGUAAAUGUGGUGUUGGGAGUGCACCACCUGGCACAAUCUGCUCAACUACUCUGUUCAAAACAUCCGUGACAACAGCUCCACAGUCUCUGAUACCAGCAUCAAGUUCAGAAGAACAUCUUCCUCCAAAUCAGCCUGGUCCCUCCACUGCUUUCCCCUUUAAAGAGAGACCCCAGAAGAGAGUUGGAAGCUUUUAUAUGAUGUUUAUGAGGCACAUGCAGAGAGAAGAACCGCUGCAUUAGAAGCAGCAGUGCAGCCUCACUUGGACUGCCGAAGAAGGCUCAAAGAAAAAAGAUGAAGGGUGUUUGAAAAGAAAACUCUAACCUGCCUUUCAGAAAUAGUUCAACAGCUAAAACAAAUCAACAAGUCGCAAGAAAUGAUAAUUGAGUUAUUAAAAAAAUAAAGCAUAAAUAUAAACCCACU
rnacentral:lncRNA from 1 species